ACAGACGUGGAAGAGAAGGGGGACUGAGGAGCGCGUGCUUUCGGGAUACUCGGGGUCGGAGCCACAGAGCCCUUGGUGGCUUUCCCAGUGAAGUCCUGCUUCUUUGUUAUUAAUCAGAUCAAGUCAGCCUUUUGCAGAAACUGUGACAGCGAUGUCAUCACUCUGUUCUCUGUCAAAUCCCUCCUCCCCAAAUCCCUGCAGCUGCUUUGGUAGACGGACUUCUGAGAGUUGUGGCAAUGUGACCAGUCAUCGUGUGGUCUGUCCCAGAAUCGUGAUGACUUUGAUGCCAUUUUGGUUUGGAUUUUUGGAAUGGUAUACAGGACUGGUGCUUGUUCCAUAUGCCUUUCCUCUGAGUUUUAGGGUUCUCCCCGUCCUCCCUAAAACUGUGGCAAUGGAAAUUUUUUCUUUCUCUGCACUUCCACAACAGACUGGGGCAAAUCUUCUGAUCCUGUAUUCAGAGACAAUCCCCUUACAUUACAUUUUCCUCUUGUUAAAAAACGAUUACUUUAAGUUAUGGUCAAGAUAUUGCUGACCUGCAUGAAUUUAUUCUAUGAUGGCUGCAGCGGGAGUCCCUGCUGUCUGAAUGAAGUCAUUAUUUGGGAACCACUGAAUAAAUGACCUCAUAAGUUUAAGUCA
rnacentral:lncRNA from 1 species